UGGACAAUGCGGCAACGGAUCGAGACCGUCCCUGCCCAAUGACGGGCUCCCAGUCUAAACGGGGGAGAGCGACAGCGGAGCAAAAGGGAACAAAACAAGCCAACGUCAUCAAGAUAAAUAGAAUCAAGGGGAUGGACACCUGGUUAACAAAAUAAAUAGGAAUGAGGCAAACUAAAAUGAUGAGUCGUGUCUGUGUUUAGACCAGUCACAUAAAUUUGAGAUUCGGUGAUGUCUGAAAUACGAGGAAUGAAAACAAAAACAAAAACAAACGCUGCCUGGAUCUCCCAAAUUCAACUCCGUUAAAGGUAGUCUGGCUUCCCCGAUAGCUACCAUCUGGAGACCCGACGCACAUCUAUUUUCAGCAGCCAAGUUGCAACUCAGUGAGCCAAAAUAGCAGCAUCGUGAGCAAGAUGUUGAACCACAGCUAAGACCUUGUAGAAGAGCUAGCUUAAACUGCUGAUCAGCAACAGGGAUUGGAAGCUUCUAAUCACUGGACGUUACAAUAUUCUGCAAUUUCAUGUAUUGAGUUGACGCAGUUUUCAGAUGUAUGCUUGCACUAUUAGUUGGCUUAUUUUAUUAAGAGCUAGCUUAAAUUGCUGAUCAGCAACAGGGAUUGGAAGCUUCUAAUCACUGGACGUUACAAUAUUCUGUAAUUUCAUCUAUUGAGUUGAUGCAGUUUUCAGAUGUAUGCUUGCACUAUUAGUUGGUUUAUUUUAUUAAGAGCUAGCUUAAAUUGCUGAUCAGCAACAGGGAUUGGAAGCUUCUAAUCACUGGACGUUACAAUAUUCUGUAAUUUCAUCUAUUGAGUUGACGCAGUUUUCAGAUGUAUGCUUGCACUCUUAGUCGGUUUAUUUGGAGAGCUAGCUUAGAUUACUGAUCAGCAACAAGGAUUGGAAGCUUCCAAUCACUGGACUUUACAAUAUUCUGUAAUUUCACCUAUUGAGUUGACUCAGUUUUCAUAUGUGUGCUUGCACUAUUAGUUGGUUUAUUUUAUUAAGAGCUAUCUUAAAUUGCUGAUCAGCAACAGGGAUUGGAAGCUUCUAAUCACUGGACUUUACAAUAUUCUGUAAUUUCAUCUAUUGAGUUGAUGCAGUUUUCAGAUGUAUGCUUGCACUCUUAGUUGGUUUAUUUUAUUAAGAGCUAGCUUAAAUUGCUGAUCAGCAACAGGGAUUGGACGCUUCUAAUCACUGGACUUCACAAUAUUCUGUAAUUUCACCUAUUGAGUUGACUCAGUUUUCCGAUGUAUGCUUGCACUCUUAGUUGGUUUAUUUUAUUAAGAGCUAAAUUGCGGAUCAGCAACAGUGAUUAGAAGCUUCUAAUCACUGGACUUUACAAUAUUCUGUAAUUUCACCCACUGAGUUGACUCAGUUUUCAGAUGUAUGCUUGCACUAUUAGUCGGUUUAUUUUAUUAAGAUUUAGCUUAAAUUGCCCAUCAGCAACAGGGAUUGGAAGUUUCUAAUCACUGGACUUUAUUCUGUAAUUUCACCUAUUGAGUUGACUCAGUUUUCAGAUGUAUGCUUGUACUAUUGGUUUAUUUUAUUAAGAGCUAGCUUAAAUUGCUGAUCAGCAACAGGGAUUGGAAGCUUUUAAUCACUGGUCUUUACAAUAUUCUGUAAUUUCAUCCAUUGAGUUGACUCAGUUUUCAGAUGUAUGCUUGACUAUAAGUUGAUUUAUUUUAUUACGCUUAGAGUAUAUCUUAUAGUUACAAAAUAAUUAUAACUGAUUUUUUAAAAAUAA